CUGAUCAGUCACUAUAUGGUUUGCUAGAGCCUCAAUCUAUACAAAAUGCUAAGGAAAGACGUCAACAAUGCCAACAAUACAUUGAAACAUGGGUCAAGGAAUCACAAAGGCAGUUGUAUUUAGGAGCUUACUUGCAUCAGGCACAUUGGCAACUAUUUGUUCUCCACCCAAGGGAAAACAUGGUCGUUUGGUUUUGUUCUCUGAGGAAGAAGCCUGAUAUUAACAUCAAAGGCGCAAUUAACAGUGCAAUGAAGACAAUAACCAGUUCUUUUGAAGGCAUGUCUAAUCAAGGUGCACCUCGAGUAAUGUGCAAAGUGGAGGGUUUGAGUGCGGAUAUUAUGUCAUGCACUUGAUGUGGUGCAUCGUGACUGCCGGUUUGAAGGAUGACUGGCACAAGUGGUUUUCUGAUGGCUCAUCGUUAGACGUGGAGGCCAUCACAACAGUUCGACAGAAAUGAGCAACUUAUUUUUUA